GGAACAGGGACCGAGCAACAGGAGCUCACCCCGUUGCAGGGAUUUGAACCGCCGACCUUCUGAUCGGCAAGUCCUAGGUUCUGUGGUUUAACCCACAGCGCCACCCAAUAGCAGGAAAAAUACAAGGUAGCUACACCACUCUCAUUUCACAGAAAUUGCACACAAGGUAGUACAUUUUGCCCCGUGAGGUUCUAUCUAGGAGGGCUAGAAACUUUUUUUAAACAAAAGAAAGCUCAGAGUCAUAGGUGCCACAUAGGUUCAGGGGUGCCACAGCGCCUGUGGAUGUUAGCUUGCUUGCCACUGGUUUAGUCAGUGCUGAGCUAGAUGUACCAAUGGUCUAAUCCAUUAUAAAGCAGCUUGCUCUGUUCCCACAAGCCAGGCCAUCCUUAUGCUUCAAUCUUGAUUUUGUCCGCACAGACCUGAGCAAAAUAACCCGUUUUGGGAGGCAGGUAAUAGCUGUGCUUCUGUAACUUUUGUUUUGCACAUAAAACAAGCCGCCUUAUGUGUAAAACACCAAUUUCAGGUUGAAAAGUGUUGUUAAUUGCUUGGGGCACAAAGCUUAACAUGUUAAAUUGUAGUACCUCUUGGUUUCAGCUGGCUACUUCUUAGAAGAACAGAACAAGCAUAUUACACAUCUGUUGUGCUUGGAAGAUUUGCUUGUCGCAGAAACUCUCUUUCAAAAACUAAGGGUCUGUGAAACAAGCGCUAGAUGUUGUUUCUCCAGACUUGUUUUAAUUUAUUUGCUGUAAAAAAAAAUUAUCCUGCCUUUCCUCCUAUGAGCAAAAGGCAACACACCUGGUUCUCUCUCCCAAUCCCAAUUUUAUCCUGACAACAACUCUGCAAGGUAGCUUAAACCAAGACAGAAUCCUAGAAUCAUGGAGUUGGAAGGGACCCCAAGGGUCAUCUAGUCCCACCCCUGCAAUGCACUGACCACAGCUAAAGAAUCCCUGAUUGAUGGCCAUGCAACUUCUAUUUUAAAACCUCCAAUAAAAGAGAUUCCACCACCUUCCAAGGCAGCCCAUCCUGCUGUCAAAAAGCUCUUACUACCAGAAAGUUCUUCCUAAUGUUUUGUUGGAAUCUGUUGUCUUACUCAUGGUUUCAGGUUCUACCUUGUGUUUUCAUUUUGUAUUUUUAUGUUGUGAACUGCCCAGUGAUCUGCAGAUGAAGGGUGGUAUACAAAUUUUAAUAAUAAUAAUACCACCACCCUCUGGAGCAGCAGAAAUCAAGCUUGCUCCACCUGCCAUGUGACAGCCCUUCAGAUAUUCGAAGAUGGACUCUGAUCAUGCUUAUCUGGCUGGAGGAUAGACAGAGGUGCACGUAAAAAUUAGACUAUGUAGAAAGACAAUAUUCGUAUUCAUUGCUCUGCCAACUUUUGCCUGUGGCCCCAGCCAUCCAUGGCAUGUGGACCCCAGAAGAUUAACCAGAAGGGAAUGUGGCCCCCAGACGGAACAAGUUCUCUAGCCCAAGUGCCAGAUAAAGAGGUCAGGAUAGCCCAAGGCUCCCUUCCCCCUGCUGCAAGCCAUUGUAAGAAAACUGUCUCUAGAUUCUUUAAUCCUGCCUCUCUCUCAACAGUUUUUGAAACCUUCAAUGCCAAAUAGGAACAUUUGAGAGCUCUAUGGGGCUUCUUACUCCUCCUCGAGAUAUUUUGGAUCGCACCAUCUUGGAGUAGUUAUGUGGUGUCAUAAAUCACAAGUAGGGCAUGGAUUUUCUAUAUGAAUUCAGCCUUGUGAAGCCAGCUCACUUUGGAGGUUAGAAAUAAAGAACCCAAAGCCAGAUGUGCAUAUAAAUCCACAUAUGUGCUCCUUUCAUUUUUCACAUUUGUUGUUUAAAGGCAAGGGUGUUUAGCUUAGGGAUCUACAGCAGAGCUUAACAGUUCUGUUGUUGUUUUUUGAACACACACACAAUUUUUUGUUUGACCUUAAAGGGAGCAUUAUGAUGUUCAGUAAAUAGCUUGUUUGCUUUGUACAGGAAUGAUUUGUAACAUCCAUGGUUUUCUCCAAACAAUUUGUUUUUACACCAUGAGAUUUAGUGUCAGGGACUUAGAAAAUGGAAUUGUUUUAUGAGCACAGAGCAAUCACUCUAGGGCAUGCUUAUUUCACAAAAUAAUACCCCCUCCCUGCUCUUUUCUUCCAAAUCUUACCUUCUUGGAGAAAUGAUAUAUUCACCACACAUGCAGUGCUGGCUGGUCUUAUUAUGGCCAGUGGGGCACUGCCCCACCAACCUCAGUCUACUUCCACCACCUCCCACCCACCCACAGGCCUACCUCCUUACCUAACCAGUCCAGAGGUCAGCACUGCCUGUGAGCUUCCCUCCUCCUUGGUCUUAGUGUUCUCCUUCUAGAACUCCACAGGGAGGAGAAUGGGGAUGCCUGAAAGGAGUGUUACAGGGAGAAUGGCCUAACACCUUGUGGUCAGCUGUGGGUCAAUAGAACUUCUGUUCUCAGACAGGUCAGUAUCAUAUCUGAGAAACAAAGGAGGGCUUUUUACACAGGGAGGUGUGGGGGAAUCCAGAAAAAGGCAAGAGUGUGCCUCAGAAAACAUGUAAGCUCUUAGUGUGGACUGUAGUGCAGUGGUUAGAGCAGCAUCCCCACCAACAUGGUUUCCUCCAGAUGUUUUGAGUGACAACUUCCACCGUCCCUGUCAUGAUCCAGGGGCCAGAGGUUCAGUCCAAAGAGGGUAAAGUCUUUUAUGAAAACACUUACCCAAAAAAGUAGGGUUCAAGGUGAAGAUCAGUCUUCACAAGCCAAACACAAGCAUAGAGAAUCUGUCCAGGUCCAAAACAUAAUCCAAAAACAAGGUUAUGGGACAGUUCAAGAUCAAUCUCACAAGGAGUUCAUGAAGCAAGACAGGAAAACUAUUUUUAUUCUGUUUAUUUGUUUACUUAUUUUAUUGCGUUCAUAUCCUACUUUUUUCUUCAAGAAGGUCAUGGUGACAUACAUGGUUUCCACCCUCUUCCUCAUUUAAUCCACACAACAGUCAUUAAGGUAGAUUAGACUAGCCCAAGGUCACUCAAUGAGCUUCAUGCCCAAGUGAAGAUUUGAACCCACGUGUCCCAGGGCCAACACUCGAACCUAGCCUGUUGUUGGAUUCCAGUUCCUGUCAUCCCAAACUACUGGCCAUGCUGGCUAGAAAUGAUAGGAGUUGUAGUCCAACAACAUUUAGGGACCCAAGGUUGAGAAAGGGUGCUCUAACCACUGCACCACAUUUGGAACAAGGUGCCACAGACCUGCAUUGCCUCCAGGUACUAGGAGACUCAAGAAAGUGACCUUAUAUACUCUGGCCUAUUGGAACACUCUCUAAAUUCAGCGAUGGGCUCUUCACACACACUUUUUGCCACAGGGGUGGUCUCUCCCAGCCCUACUUGCUGGAGAGUGAACCUGGAAACUUCUUCAUGCAAGGCACAUGUUCCACCACUGCCUUUUCCAAUCUCAGGGUUGUGGGGUCGAGCCCCAUGUUGGGUGAAAGAUGGUUUGAACAUAUUUCACCAAUCCUGGCCAGAGCACACUGACUGCCAAUUAGUUUCCGGGCCCAAUUCAAAGUGCUAGUUUUGACCUCUAAAGCCUUAAAUGUCUCAGGACAGUACUUCAACGACUGCCUCUCCCCAUACGAACCUACCCAGAGCCUGAGAUCAUCCUCUGAGGCCCUUCUUCAUGUGCCUCCACGAGAGGUCCAGAGGGUGGCAACAUGAGAACAGGCCUUUUCUGUGGUGGGUCCCCAUUUGUGGAAUGCUUUCCCCAAGGAAGUUCUGCUGGUACAUUCAUUAUACACCUUUAGGCACUAGGCCAAAACAUUCCUUUUUAACCAGGCCUUUGGCUGAUUGACAUCUGAUGCCCUUUAAAAAUGUAUUUUGGAAAGGGAGGUUAUUGGGUUGUUUUGUUUUUAUUUGAUUACAUAUUUUGUGAUUUUUAUAUUGUAGUUUUAUGUUGUAAACCACCCUGAGAUAAGGGAGGCAUACAAACAAACAAACAAAUAUUGCAAGUGGUUGGACUAGAUGAUCCUCACAGUCCUUUCCAACUCUACAGAUCUGUAUUUCUCCAGUCUUUGCUGUGAGAUUAAGAAAAACAGGGCCUGAUUGGUGUAAGAACCAUGCCCUACCUUAGCUCCAGGCAAUAGAACUGCUGGGCUAUGGAACAUGCAAGCAACAUUCUGCUUGCGGCUCUGUAUUUCUUCGUUGUUACCCAGGAUCACAACCACUUCCCAGCAAUAAAAACUGGGUGGCCUGAUUUUUAUACCGUCCUGCAGCACAGCAAUUGGAUUUAAAUUAAUCUAUAUUAAGAAGCAGAAUGUGAGCUGGCUUCCCCACCCGACCCCCUUCAGAUGAGAAAUGCAUUGAGAAGGUGAAAUCCUCUUUGGGUUGUUUUUUUUUAAUUCUGUUCCUUACUGCUGGGGUCCAUUCUCAAGGGAUUUCUUGCAGAGGGAAGGCAGAGAGUUAUCUGCAGUGAGGUUUGAAAAUCAGAUAUCAUGAUAGUUCUGCUGAUGGGUGAACACACAUUAGAUGCCGUGAGUCCCCCAACACUCUCAGGAUCAGGUUUGGGUUGGCAGGAUCCAAUGGAAGAGGAGGCAGAAAUAUGGGGAGGGGGAACCUGGGUUGGAGGAGGAGGGAACUCCCCCCUUUGCCCUGUGGAAGGGGGAGCAAGGAUCUUCCCCAGGGAAGCCUGGGGAGUGCUUUGAUCAGCCAAGAUGUGGAGCUGAACAGCAAGUGGCCUGAUCAGGAGGGUGCAGGCUUGUCACCUAGAACCAGACAAUGCCUUUGCAGAUGGGAGCAGACCCACCAAUGGGAGUGCCCACCUGCAGCCAACACUUAUGAAUACCAGCUGCUGGGAAUUGCAGGUGGGCAGACAGCUGUUGUACUCUGGUCCCGCUUGCUUGUUUCCCACAGGUGUCUGCUUGGCCACUGUGAGAACUGGAUGCUGAACUUUGGAGAACGAGCGAGGUCCCAGCUAAAGAAGAAUGGCAACUGAAGCUGAUGGAAUACAGUAUGUGCAGCUUGCGGACUUAACAUAUAGAAUAAGAGAACAAGAAGAACAUACGUUUAGAGAAGAUUGGAAAAUGUUUAUUGAAUACAGUGGUACCUCUGGUUGCGAACGGGAUCCGUUCCGAAGGCCCGUUCGCAACAUGAAAAGAGUGAAACCCGCAGUGGCGCGUCUGCGCAUGCGCGGGUUGUGAUUUGCCGCUUCUGAGCAUGCACGUGAUGUCAUUUUGCACUUCUGCGCAUGAGCGAGUGGCAAAACCCGGAAGUAACCCUUUCUGGUACUUCCGGGUCGCCGUGGGACAUAACCUGAAAGAAUGUAACAUGAAGCAAACAUAACAUGAGGUAUGACUGUAUAUGGGGGGAAAUUGUGUACACUUGAAAACGUUGGCAGCAUUAAGAUAAAUUCAACAGUUUUGAUGGAUGUAAUAAUGGAAUAAAAUGUGUAAAAUAUGCAGGGUUUUACAGUUGGCAAAAUGAACCAUGGAAAGAGAAGAAGGGAAGUAACUGAUAUUUUAAGGAUGUUUAAAUGAGUAUUCUAAAUUGUAAAAUACAAAAUUUAAUAAAAAUUAUAUAUAUAUAAGUGAAUAGGAUGCUGAACUAGACGAGCCAUUGGCCUGAUUCAGUAGGCUCUUCUUAGGUUCUGGUAUUCCUACAGCACAAGAAACGUGCCACAAGUGAGCAUGCCACGCCUCAUCUUCAAAAGCAUGCCAGGAGGGGAAACCUGUGAGAGCCUCUCUGCUCCUUCUGUCCAGUUCUGAGUUCCUUGCUUUGCUCCUGAGUCGUGACUCCUGAGCAUGGCACCUGCUGCCGAUGCUGUACGGUUACUUGCGCAAAUAAAGACCCCUUUUCUGCU
rnacentral:lncRNA from 1 species